rnacentral:rRNA from 1 species
ACCCGGACACGCGCACCGGGUUGAUAGACUAGUCAGGUGACAGGACGGCUAGGUAGGAGAGGGGAGGGGAGGAGGACUGGAAGACGUCGGCGUUAACUAAGUCCAGCAAGGAGAAGGGAUGGGAGAUCGCUGCGGCGGUUGCCGUUGUGCCGUGAACAGGCCGAUGUCGCGGUGAUCUUCACCGGAGGCUCCUCGGUCAACUAGGUGGAUACUCCAUCUUUCCAACCUGCCACGGUACGGCGGUGGGCGUCUACAGAUGGAGGCCGGCUGGGGGCGGAGUGCUUCGAGUAGCAGAACUAGACGGACGAGGAUUAGGCCUACUAUAGCACGGAGACUGGGAAGGUCGGUGGAAUUAAGGUACAAGGGGUAGAUAGUCAAACUACAACUAAAGAAGAGAAGGAAGGGCUAGAACGCAAGACAUACAAGGGUAGACAAGCAAGAUACCACUUGGACUAGACGACCAAAUUCCUCAAAGCUAGACGACCCAUUGGUUAGAAGUCAAAGACCUAGGUAAGUACUACACAGUGCGUGGCCGCUGCGAAUUAUGUUCACACUGAAACAUAAAAGGAGACAUGUUCUUAGACGUUGGAAGGAUGAGGUCGUCGACUUGGAGAUCAUCGUACCAAGUACCGUUCCGCCACAAGUAUGACUAAACCAGUUGAUUAAACCCAUUUUGAACCUCCGACCAAAACCGUAUAACUAAACCCUAAAGAAAUGAAAUUAGAGGCUACCGACGACCUGUCAAAUAAUGAUGCUGUAAACUCCUUAAGAAGUCAAAACUUAGAGACCACCUAUCACCGAAAAUUAAAAGAAGAUAUUAAGAGAUAAACAACUAGACUAAAGGUCGUACGAGGUUCAUUUUACCUAGAAACGCAAGUUAGCUAAUAGAGUCUAAUACUUUGUUUUGUUUAGUCACGUAGUUGCUCCUGAUCCCAAUAGUUUACUACUCAACUAUUUGACGGUUAUUCUACACUUUAGUUCUUGGUUCACAAAGCAUACUACCCGUUCUUGUUGCUCGAUCCGAUUUUUUAUCCCUUUUGCUUCUAGUUUGUUCAACUACCCACAAAUACUAAAGUCAAAUUCCGACUAACAUGUAGUUGGAAUCUCGACAUAAAAAUGGAAUGUUGGACUACGACAACGAUUUUGAACGUCGACCAAUCUUAUUCUAAAAUCACAGACUAGAACGUUGACGUCAUGUGUGUAAUGCGACGAUUUUGUUCACGGUCACGAGACAAAACGAUUGGACUUAUAAGUCAAACAACAGGAAUUUGGGUUCGUUGAAUAAAACAACAUGAGGGAGUCAAGGUAUUUUGUUCUG